rnacentral:rRNA from 1 species
UUUCCGUAGGUGAACCUGCGGAAGGAUCAUUAAAGAGAUAGGGUCUUCAUGGCCCGACCUCCAACCCUCUGUUGUUAAAACUACCUUGUUGCUUUGGCGGGACCGUCUCGGUCUCCGAGCGCACUAACCCUCGGGUUGGUGAGCGCCCGCCAGAGUCCAACCAAACUCUUGUAUUAAACCAGUCGUCUGAGUAUAAAAUUUUAAUUAAAUUAAAACUUUCAACAACGGAUCUCUUGGUUCUCGCAUCGAUGAAGAACGCAGCGAAAUGCGAUAAGUAAUGUGAAUUGCAGAAUUCAGUGAAUCAUCGAAUCUUUGAACGCACAUUGCGCCCCUUGGUAUUCCGAGGGGCAUGCCUGUUCGAGCGUCAUUACACCACUCAAGCAUCGCUUGGUAUUGGGAACGGUCCGUCGAAAGGCGGGCCUUCCUCGAAGACCUCGGCGGGGUUCAACCAACUUCGGGCGUAGUAGAGUUAAAUCGAACGUCUUAUAAGCUUGGUCGGAUCUCAUUGCCGUUAAACCUUUAAAUUUUCUAGGUUGACCUCGGAUCAGGUAGGGAUACCCGCUG